rnacentral:rRNA from 1 species
AAGGUGGUGCAUGGUUGUCGUCAGCUCGUGUCGUGAGAUGUUGGGUUAAGUCCCGCAACGAGCGCAACCCUCGUUCUAUGUUGCCAGCACGUAAUGGUGGGAACUCAUGGGAUACUGCCGGGGUCAACUCGGAGGAAGGUGGGGAUGACGUCAAAUCAUCAUGCCCCUUAUGUCUUGGGCUUCACGCAUGCUACAAUGGCCGGUACAAAGGGCUGCAAUACCGUAAGGUGGAGCGAAUCCCAAAAAGCCGGUCCCAGUUCGGAUUGAGGUCUGCAACUCGACCUCAUGAAGUCGGAGUCGCUAGUAAUCGCAGAU